UACGUAGGGUGCGAGCGUUGUCCGGAAUUAUUGGGCGUAAAGAGCUCGUAGGCGGUGUGUCACGUCGUUCGUGAAAACCUGCAGCUUAACUGUGGGCGUGCGGUCGAUACGGGCAUCACUGGAGUUCGGCAGGGGAGACUGGAAUUCCUGGUGUAGCGGUGAAAUGCGCAGAUAUCGGGAGGAACACCGGUGGCGAAGGCGGCGACCUGGGUCGAUACUGACGCUGAUGCGCGAAAGCGUGGGGAGCAAACAGG
rnacentral:rRNA from 1 species